rnacentral:rRNA from 1 species
GUUCAAGUGCGUAGGCUUAAGAGUUAGGUAAAUCCGGCUCUUUUUAAGGCUGAGACACGACGUCGAGCACCUACGGGUGUGAAGUCAUUGAUGCCAUGCUUCCAGGAAAAGCCUCUAAGCUUCAGAUUGUAAGGAAUCGUACCCCAAACCGACACAGGUGGUCGGGUAGAGAAUACCAAGGCGCUUGAGAGAACUCGGGUGAAGGAACUAGGCAAAAUGGUACCGUAACUUCGGGAGAAGGUACGCUCUUGAUGGUGAAGUCCCUCGCGGAUGGAGCUGACGAGAGUCGCAGAUACCAGGUGGCUGCAACUGUUUAUUAAAAACACAGCACUGUGCAAAAUCGUAAGAUGACGUAUACGGUGUGACGCCUGCCCGGUGCCGGAAGGUUAAUUGAUGGGGUUAGACUUCGGUCGAAGCUCUUGAUCGAAGCCCCGGUAAACGGCGGCCGUAACUAUAACGGUCCUAAGGUAGCGAAAUUCCUUGUCGGGUAAGUUCCGACCUGCACGAAUGGCGUAAUGAUGGCCACGCUGUCUCCACCCGAGACUCAGUGAAAUUGAAAUCGCUGUGAAGAUGCAGUGUACCCGCGGCUAGACGGAAAGACCCCGUGAACCUUUACUACAGCUUGGCACUGAACAUUGACCCUACAUGUGUAGGAUAGGUGGGAGGCUUUGAAGCACGUACGCCAGUAUGUGUGGAGCCGUCCUUGAAAUACCACCCUUGUAGUGUUGAUGUUCUAACGUCGACCCCUAAUCGGGGUUGCGGACAGUGCCUGGUGGGUAGUUUGACUGGGGCGGUCUCCUCCCAAAGAGUAACGGAGGAGCACGAAGGUGGGCUAAUCACGGUUGGACAUCGUGAGGUUAGUGCAAUGGCAUAAGCCCGCUUGACUGCGAGAAUGACAAUUCGAGCAGGUGCGAAAGCAGGUCAUAGUGAUCCGGUGGUUCUGAAUGGAAGGGCCAUCGCUCAACGGAUAAAAGGUACUCCGGGGAUAACAGGCUGAUACCGCCCAAGAGUUCAUAUCGACGGCGGUGUUUGGCACCUCGAUGUCGGCUCAUCACAUCCUGGGGCUGAAGUCGGUCCCAAGGGUAUGGCUGUUCGCCAUUUAAAGUGGUACGCGAGCUGGGUUUAGAACGUCGUGAGACAGUUCGGUCCCUAUCUGCCGUGGGCGUUGGAAGAUUGAAGGGGGCUGCUCCUAGUACGAGAGGACCGGAGUGGACGAACCUCUGGUGUUCGGGUUGUGUCGCCAGACGCAUUGCCCGGUAGCUAAGUUCGGAAUCGAUAACCGCUGAAAGCAUCUAAGCGGGAAGCGAGCCCUGAGAUGAGUCUUCCCUGAUACUUUAAGUAUCCUAAAGGGUUGUCGGAGACUACGACGUUGAUAGGUCA